CACGUAGGGCGCAAGCGUUGUCCGGAAUUAUUGGGCGUAAAGAGCUCGUAGGCGGACUGUCACGUCUGCUGUGAAAAGCUGGGGCUUAACCCUGAGCCUGCUUCCGAUACGGGCAGACUAGAGGUAUGCAGGGGAGAACGGAAUUCCUGGUGUAGCGGUGGAAUGCGCAGAUAUCAGGAGGAACACCGGUGGCGAAGGCGGUUCUCUGGGCAUUACCUGACGCUGAGGAGCGAAAGUGUGGGGAGCGAACAGG
rnacentral:rRNA from 1 species